AUGGAGCAUAUAAAUGCGUUAAGGAACUCUCUUCCGUAAGAUCUAUCAAUGUAGAAAGAUAAACAUUGUUUCCUAAAUCAAGAAAUGAAAAUCCCUUGCUAUCUUUCCAUCCUCCUACUUGUUGUCUUCAUGGAUUCUGGAAAUCAAGUGCACAUGGCUGUGGUACCUGAAUAUGUACAUUGUGAUUAUUUAACAUUGCGUAAUGAUUAUUGUGACAUAAAGAACGAUCCUUGCGACGCUCAUUGCAAAGUACAUUACAGAUCAACCAACGUAACUGGAUCUUGUGACAUUGACAUAAAUUUAUGUGUUUGUACAUAUUGUCAUGAAUAAUAUUUAGCUAGCUACAACAAUCACUGCUUUCACACCAAUUGAAUGUGUAAGGCGAUGAACUGAAAAAUUAUAUAAAUAAAAUGGUUGCAUUAUUUGAUUCAUAUGACAA